GAGUUCUCGUUGAUGAUCGGUGCUUGCACCGAGAUUCAACAUACAUCGAGUGGCGGACGGGUGAGUAACACGCGGGUAACCUGCCCUUAAGUGGGGGAUAACAUUUGGAAACAGAUGCUAAUACCGCAUAGAUCCAAGAACCGCAUGGUUCUUGGCUGAAAGAUGGCGUAAGCUAUCGCUUUUGGAUGGACCCGCGGCGUAUUAGCUAGUUGGUGAGGUAAUGGCUCACCAAGGCGAUGAUACGUAGCCGAACUGAGAGGUUGAUCGGCCACAUUGGGGCUGAGACACGGCCCAAACUCCUACGGGAGGCAGCAGUAGGGAAUCUUCCACAAUGGACGCAAGUCUGAUGGAGCAACGCCGCGUGAGUGAAGAAGACUUUCGGGUCGUAAAACUCUGUUGUUGGAGAAGAAUGGUCGGCAGAGUAACUGUUGUCGGCGUGACGGUAUCCAACCAGAAAGCCACGGCUAACUACGUGCCAGCAGCCGCGGUAAUACGUAGGUGGCAAGCGUUAUCCGGAUUUAUUGGGCGUAAAGCGAGCGCAGGCGGUUUUUUAAGUCUGAUGUGAAAGCCCUCGGCUUAACCGAGGAAGCGCAUCGGAAACUGGGAAACUUGAGUGCAGAAGAGGACAGUGGAACUCCAUGUGUAGCGGUGAAAUGCGUAGAUAUAUGGAAGAACACCAGUGGCGAAGGCGGCUGUCUGGUCUGUAACUGACGCUGAGGCUCGAAAGCAUGGGUAGCGAACAGGAUUAGAUACCCUGGUAGUCCAUGCCGUAAACGAUGAAUGCUAGGUGUUGGAGGGUUUCCGCCCUUCAGUGCCGCAGCUAACGCAUUAAGCAUUCCGCCUGGGGAGUACGACCGCAAGGUUGAAACUCAAAGGAAUUGACGGGGGCCCGCACAAGCG
rnacentral:rRNA from 1 species